UCAACUCCAAAAGAAAUUAAAUCAUGCAACAUAUUAGGUUAAUAGGUGAUAAACUUUCCUUUUACAGAAUAAUCAAUUGAAUUCUGGCUUUGCAAAAUGCAUAUUUCUAUAACAAUAUUUCCAUCUACUGAAGGAAAGCAUGUGUCUCUUCUACUUUCGGAGUAGCUGCACACUCUCUGGCCGAUCUCUCUUCUUUAUAUGAUCUCUCCACAUCCCGUAGGUAAUUGGUCAAGCCUUCUCUAUGUUUCACCUUGUUUUGUAAAUUUGAGGAAUCAUUUUUCCACCCGAUUGGAAGGAUUAACCGCAUGUUUCACCGUACUAUAUUCUGGUAUAAUAAGGUAGUAGAGUAUAGCAUACUAUAAUGAUAUCAAAUACAAGACCAGUUAAGGAAUUGUAAUAGUACAAAAUAUGGGCAAGAUACAAGUACAUUAAAAAAAAAUAUCAGCAAGGUAGAACAAGAUUUUUUUUUUUCUCUAUGCAACCUAUAAAGGAGAGAUAUUGUUAAUUUAAUGAAAGAAAUAGCUAUGGGAAGACAUAAAGUGAGGGUUGGAGACAUUAACUUUUUUCUGAAAAUUAUAUGUAAGCUAAAAGAAUUCACAUUGUUGAUCCCAGUUAUCAAUAACCAAGCUGCAGGUAGCAUUUUUAACCAGCCCCCUCUUUGUAUAUCUCUUUCAUUUGGCUUUUCCAACAGUAGAUACUUGCUAAGAUUCCAAGACAUUCCAAAAUGGAGUGGUCGAUAUUGAAGAACCUAAUUGUUUACAACUUCACUCUUGCUAAGAAGUCUAUUCAGGUGUAAACCAAUGUAGUAAAAUAGAAACUUUUUUUCUAUAGAAGAGGAGAAGAGGAAGGUGAAACAAAAGUAUAUAAUUUUAUCAAACACAUUUACAUGAUCAAUAUGGAUGCAUAGGCUCAUAUUUUACAAAACAUAGAGAAAAUGAACCAUCUGUUUUCUCGAUGGAAGCAUAUCUGGUGGUGUAAAAAUCAAAUACUCAGUAAGUAGUAUAGUGAAGAGUUGCCCAUAAACGUAGAGAUUAUAGGGGUAUAAUUCUAACCUUUUCUGGAAAUAAAUCAAGAGCCGCCAACAAUAACAUUCUCCUGAAUUCUAGAUGAUGGCUCAACCGGAUCCAUAGAACUUGUGCUCAAACGAAGGUGGUUACUUGUUAUUUCUUGCUUUUUGAGGCGCUUUCAGUCAUGUCGCUUUUUAUAUUUAACAACUCUUAUGCCCAACAUUCUACAUGACAUAUUUCAUAUAAUAAGAUUCAGAGGACAUGUUGGUAUAUUAUACACCUUUUUAGUUUAUAACCACAAGAUUUAAAAAUUCUUGUCAAGUCAAAACUAAGACAAACAAAUUAUAAUGGAGGCAACAUAUUUAAGAAAUUUAAAAAGAGAUGAGUAAAGAGAAAGUACUAUAC
rnacentral:lncRNA from 1 species